rnacentral:lncRNA from 1 species
UUAAUUCUUGGUGUACCAUCCGUCAAGUGUUUCAGAGCCAGACUGCUUGAAAAUACUGUAGUGGUGCUCACUCAUUGGUUGGGUUUUGCUUAUUAUCUUUUUAAACCUUAAUGUAUAUUCGCUAGUAAAAUACAGGGAAUAUGAGUAGGCUGCUGUUCUGGGAAGGUGCUGUCAGGGAGCAGGGAACAGCCUGUCUCUGGUGAGACAGUUCCACCUUGUGGAGCUUCUGAGAGAGGCUUUUAUGAAAGACUUAUGUAAAGAUUUUAAUUUCUUUCAAAUCUUCUUCAGAGAAAAACAUUUACGAAAAACAAUAACAAGAGAUAAAAGUGUCCCUAAUUUUGACUAUCACUUUCUGCACCAGAUGGCUAUUAGAAGCUUUGAUAAAAGCAAAUUAAAAUCUGUUGGAAUGCUGGCUCAGAGCACGGUUAAGGUGACUGACACGGGGUGCAGUGGUGAGUUUGUGGAAGAUGAUGACAUGGCAGCAGCUCCUCCCAGGAGUAAGUUAAUGCAGCGCAGACACACGGUCAAUGUGCCACUGCCAGCAGAGGAGCUCAGUGACAGCGACUCAUCCAGCCCUGCAGAUGCAGGUGUUUCACAGUCACAGGAGUGUGGUGACUCCGUUUCAGAUCACUGACAGGAAAACACCAAUUUGAAGCCCAAAGCUGAGGAAGCUGGCGUUGUGAAACUCCAGAGCCCUUCAGUGUGUGUCAGAUAUCGGUGACAUUCACACACCCAAGUUCAGAGCAGACACACGACAGCUCUGCAGCACAGCUGGAAUGUCCUGGCACCUUGGGGACUGACUGCUCUGUUCAUGUUGGAGGUCACCACGCAGCCAGAUCAUUACUGAUCUCACAAACAGGGAUGUAACGAGAUGAAAACAGCAAAAUUACUGUCAUAUUCUAUUUAGCACUUACAAAAAGUUCUAUGUAACAGUAAACCAAAUGAAACCCUGUAUUGUAUUUUUCAGCCACCCACUUUGUUUUAAAAGUCUUUGAAUAAUUUUUGCAUUUUCAGUUUUUAUCACUACAUUCAAAAUGAGAUAUAAAUAUAUUUAUAUAAAAAGAUAUAUUGGAUAACAAGGUAUUUAUGCAGAGGUAUGGAAUGUCUAUUUUUAUUGCAAUAUUACAAACCAUUAUAGUAUAUAUUUCUGUACAUUUCAGUAGCUGGGCAAACAAUAGUCCAUAACAUCUGCAUUAUUAAUGUGAAGGGAUGUAAUCUUUGCUAAUCUCUUAGCAAUGCUGGGGCUGCAAGUUCUUACACAGGAGCCAAGAUACUGAGGAAAAAGCAGAGAGCCCCUGACAUAGCGAAACUUUGGACUUGCUGUUCACAACCUAAUAAAAAAGCAGAAGCAAGCCUGUUCAAGGGCACACACAACUGUUUGUCCCCUCCUCUAAAGCAAAUAAUGCAAAAAUGCACAAAAAUUCACGAUUCUGAACCUGAGAAAUAUCCACAGACAAAGCUGCUUAGGAGCCUGCUCUGGACUGCUCUUUGAAAGGUGGAAUUGCCAUUAUGAAGGUACUUCUCACAUCAGUGAGCAGUGGCUGGCACAGGCCAAAUCCUCCCCCAUUCCCAGGGCUGAUCACUGAAGAAUUGAAAGCUCACAGGGAACUAUCAAAGUGGCUGCUUAGAUUUGAAGUUCAUGUUCUACUGUUACGGGAGGAGAAGGUGUAAAUAGCACAAGCCAGGCUUUGCAGUGCCGUAUUUUUUUAUUCUUGGCUCAUCACAUUCAGCUUGCCUUUUAUUUCAUGAACUAUUUGUAUAGAUAAUUCUCUUUCUUUUUACUGUGGUAUUAGUAAACUGCCUGGCAAAAUAGAAAGCUGGAAAACAGAGCGGUGGGUUUUCCAGAUAACUUUUUAAUCCAAGAGGUAAAAUGUCAAAUGUCAUUUGGAUUUGAGGGUAAUGUGUUUAUUUUUCUAAUAAUUUAUGAGUUCAUCUGAUUUUCUGAUGUGCCUUGGAUUUGUGCCAAAUGAUGGAAAGAA